rnacentral:rRNA from 1 species
AGCGAACGCUGGCGGCAGGCUUAACACAUGCAAGUCGAGCGCUCGUAGCAAUACGAGAGCGGCAGACGGGGGAGUAACACGUGGGAACGUACCCUUCGGUUCGGAAUAACCCAGGGAAACUUGGGCUAAUACCGGAUACGUCCGUAAGGAGAAAGAUUUAUCGCCGAGGGAUCGGCCCGCGUCCGAUUAGCUAGUUGGUGGGGUAAUGGCCCACCAAGGCGACGAUCGGUAGCUGGUCUGAGAGGAUGAUCAGCCUCACUGGGACUGAGACACGGCCCAGACUCCUACGGGAGGCAGCAGUGGGGAAUAUUGGACAAUGGGCGCAAGCCUGAUCCAGCCAUGCCGCGUGGGUGAUGAAGGCCUUAGGGUUGCAAAGCCCUUUCGGCGGGGAAGAUAAUGACGGUACCCGCAGAAGAAGCCCCGGCUAACUUCGUGCCAGCCGCCGCGGUAA